AUUUUCACCGCUAUGCCUCCUUUCACUCUGGGAGUCUUCCAGAGGUCUUGCACUCGGGAGAGCAUGCUCAGGUUUCCCCAGCUCUACAAAAUCACCCAGAAUGCCAAAGACUUCAACACAAGGAUACUGUGUUGACCAGUGGUCAUGCCACUGCCUGUUGAUUUGUUGAAAAUAUUGUUUACACGUAUGUUCUUGUUACUGAUUGUCAGAAAGCUGGUUUUGAGACUGCAGCUUGGACUAAAUUCAGUCAUCUGGCUGUCUGGGGAAGCAUGCUGACCAGUCUGGUGUUCUUUGGCAUCUACUCAGCCAUCUGGUCCACCAUUCUCAUUGCCCCAAAUAUGAGAGGACAGCAACUGUGAUCCUGAGCUGUGCACACUUCUGGUUGGGAUUAUUUCUGGUUUCUACUUCCUGUUUGAAGAUGUGGCAUGGAGAGUGCCAAGCACAUCUGCAAAAAAGACAUUGCUGGAGGAGGUGCAAAGAGCUGGAAACCAAGUCUCCAGUCCUGGGAAAAGCAGUGGUAUGGAAAAGCAAUGGAAAGAGCAUUUUGAAAAUGCCAUUCCACUGUUUUCUGGCCUUUAUGAUUUCUGCUGAGAAAUCCACUGUUAGUCUGAUGGGGUCUCCUUCAUAGCACCAAUGACCUGAAGAGCCUUGUUGAAGGAAGACUCCAUCUGAUGACUCAGAGCAAGUAUUUUUUAGUGUGUUAUUGUUAUUAGCAGAAAGAGGGCCAUAAAAUACAUGGGGCAAGCUGAAUAUAUCUUAGGCAAAAGAAGAAAAUAUUCAAAUUCUUAUGUUAUUUUAUCUAAUUAUUUUAUCUCUUUUUGUGUGUGACUUAUAAUGUGUGUAUUGUAUUAAUAAAAGUAUAUAAACAUGUAGUUUACAAAUA
rnacentral:lncRNA from 1 species